rnacentral:rRNA from 1 species
GGCGGACGGGUGAGUAAUGCUUGGGAACUUGCCUUUCGGAGGGGGAUAACCAUUGGAAACGAUGGCUAAUACCGCAUAACGUCUACGGACCAAAGUGGGGGAUCUUCGGACCUCACACCGAGAGAUAGGCCCAAGUGAGAUUAGCUAGUUGGUGGGGUAAAGGCUCACCAAGGCGACGAUCUCUAGCUGUUCUGAGAGGAUGAUCAGCCACACUGGGACUGAGACACGGCCCAGACUCC